GAUGUGAUAGUCUAAGAUUAGAUCUUAUACAUAUUAUUAGAAUUAAAUUAUUUAAUCUAUUAUUUAUGUGGUAUGAAAUUUUAAAAUUGCAUGUAUUGCACUAUCGUAUAUUUCCUUUAACUGGUACAGAGCAGGUUAUUUUGAUAUGAAUUAAUAUGACUUUAGAUCUACUUUUUUAUUAUUAGAUCUGAUUAUUUAUGAUUUAGAUUAGAUUCAAAUUAGUUUAUUUUUAGAUCUGAUUAUUAUUUAUUUA
rnacentral:lncRNA from 1 species